UUUAAUCCCAGCACAGGGAGGCAAAGGCAGGUAGAUCUCUGAGUUCAAGGCCAGCUCAAUCUACUUAGUGAGACCCUUGCUCAGUGGGUCAGAAGGCCUGCUGUUAAGGUGGUGGUGGUGUUCCUGAAAUAGAUCUGUAGACUUCCAGCUAUCUCGCUUUGAAAAUUGACACGUUUGACGCUGGUUCCCUAUGGAAAUGUGAGGAAAGGAAGACAGGACAUAAAAGAAUAAAAAGCAAGGCGGCUUACACUUCUGAUUUCAAACUUACAUGUCAGUGCUAAUUAAGUCUGUGUGAUCUGGACAUGAGGGCAGAUGGGUAAAAAAGCUGUCUGCUAUCCCCACUGUGACCACAAACAGAACUCAGAGGGAGGGCCCUUUAACCCAUGAGCUACCACAGUUCCUCUUGGCUGUUAAAGGAAAGACCUUUCGUCCUUUUCAAACAAAACUGCUAGUUUCACCCGUUGUUACCAUUUGACUGUACUAGCAUUGUCGUGCCUCCAUAGGCUCCCGCACGGGGAGCCUUGGUUUCCAACUAGUGGCACACAUUUGGGAGUUGGGAAAACCUUGUGAGUCCUGGAGGCACACCCUGGGAAGAUGCACCAGCUCCAGCCUUUCCUGCACCUUGAUGUGAGAAGCACUGCUCCACCACAUGCUUCCUGCCGUGCUGCCCCGCCCUGACAUACCUCACUCAGGAGCAAUGAAGCCAGAUGACUAUGGGCCGAUCUGACACUGUGGGCCAAAAGAAACCAUUCAUGUGUAGCCCAGGCUGUCCUGGGACUCAGUAUGUAGCCCAGGCUGUCCUGGAACUCGGUAUGUAGCCCAGGCUCCCCUCAGAUUUGUAGCUUUCGCCUGCCUCAGCCUCCCAAGUGCCAGACUGCAGCCAUGACCAGCCUACCUGGUUUCACCUCUUCUUUCACAUUGUGCACGUGUGUUUGGUCUCAGCAGCUGAAGUCUAACACGGUUGUCAUUUCUGACAGAGCUUUGAGGAGGAAGGAAUCAGUGUGGUAUAGAAAUAAGGUGUGGACUCCAGUAUGCUGUGUAAAGGCAGCACCAGUCAGACACCAAAACCAUGCGUUGUAAGAGAGCAAACUGCUAUCCAGUGGACCCCAAGCCCAUCACGCAGAAGCAGGAGGCAGAAGCACUCAAAUACUACUGAGCACAUGGACCACCCCAUCCAUAAGCAACUCAGCAUUAAAGUCAGCCUCCUAAGUGAGAACAGGAGGGUGAAGGAAGACAGUCCGUACAGCAGAGAAAGUGUCUGACAGAGCCCCACAGCCAUUGUGACAAGCUCAGCAAACUAGGGAGAGAAACAAGCCUCCUUUCCCUGGUGAAGGACGCCUGCUGCUGGGGCGGGUUGAGCUGAGUAGGUUUGCCGGACACAGGUGUUACAGAGCCGCCUGCAUCCCUGUGAGGAGCAGCUAGAAGUUAAAGUGUGACAUCAGGGCAUUCACAAUGACACUACAAAACAAAUGCCUUGGUAUGAAUAAAAAUGUUUUCUGAAAACUA